rnacentral:rRNA from 1 species
CAGUAGCCGCGGUAAUACGUAGGUGGCAAGCGUUAUCCGGAAUUAUUGGGCGUAAAGCGCGCGUAGGCGGUUUUUUAAGUCUGAUGUGAAAGCCCACGGCUCAACCGUGGAGGGUCAUUGGAAACUGGAAAACUUGAGUGCAGAAGAGGAAAGUGGAAUUCCAUGUGUAGCGGUGAAAUGCGCAGAGAUAUGGAGGAACACCAGUGGCGAAGGCGACUCUCUGGUCUGUAACUGACGCUGAGGAGCGAAAGCGUGGGGAGCGAACAGGAUUAGAUACCCCGGUAGUCCCUGUCUCUUAUAC